rnacentral:rRNA from 1 species
GACGAACGCUGGCGGCGUGCUUAACACAUGCAAGUCGAGCGGUAAGGCCCUUUCGGGGGUACGACGAGCGGCGAACGGGUGAGUAACACGUGGGUGACCUGCCCUCAGCUCUGGGAUAAGCCUGGGAAACCGGGUCUAAUACUGGAUAUGACUCCAUGACGCAUGUUGUGGGGUGGAAAGCCUUGUGCGGCUGAGGAUGGGCCCGCGGCCUAUCAGCUUUGUUGGUGGGGUGANGGCCCUACCAAGGCGACGACGGGUAGCCGGCCUGAGAGGCGACCGGCCACACUGGGACUGAGACACGGCCCAGACUCCUACGGGAGGCAGCAGUGGGGAAUCUUGCGCAAUGGGCGAAAGCCUGACGCAGCGACGCCGCGUGAGGGAUGACGGCCU